ACUAUCUUAUAUUUGUUCCUUCCCUCCCACCGUUGAUAGUAUUUGAUUUGUUUGUUCAACAAGCAUUUAUAAAAUAUUAUGUGCCAAGCAGUGGAUAAAUCAUGUUUAUAUUUUGUCAAGGAGAUCAUUGCCUAGAAGGGAGGAAACAAUUGUAGUCCAGUGUGAUAGGUGUUGGGCAUUAACUGUAUAUAAAAUGCUCAGAGUGAACACAGGGAAGGAAACGAUUAUUUAUCCUGAAGGUGGAGAUAUAUACUAACCAAAUUAUAGAGGGCCUUGGGAAAGAGGAGGUUAUUCAUGAAUCAGUUGUACUGCUUAGAAAGAUCACCCUGGUUCAGUGUGGAUGAUACUGGCAACGAAGGGAAGAGGCAGAGAGACGAAAAGAAAAGUGACUGCAGUAGGCUAGGUGAAAGGUGAUGAAAGCCGACACUUGGGCAGCAGCUAUGGAGAUACAGAAGACAUGAUAGAGACAAUAUAAUUGGUAAUUAAGUAUUAGAGGGAAAGUGGAAUAAAAAUCUUUUU